AAAGGGAGACCUAAUUCAGGUAGGAGACGAAAAAAAAGUAGUCGCUACCAAGAAUCAAUCCCAAAAGGUCGGAGCGAGGCGAAAUUGGCUUUCAAACUAGGUUCUGGGUUCACACAAGACCUGAAUCAGGAACAAGGGCUAUUAGCUCAGGUGGUUAGAGCGCACCCCUGAUAAGGGUGAGGUCUCUGGUUCAAGUCCAGAAUGGCCCACCUAACUAGCGUCAAGCCUAGAGAAAAAGGAAAGGAUUCAGCAUCCUAUCUAAGGAAUCGAGAGAGGAAUUAGAGGGAAUGCUGGAUGAAAGUCCAGUAAGAACCUUGAAAACUGCAUAUUGAGAAGAGAAAGCAGGGAAAGUUAUUCGCAAGAAUAGCAAUCCAAAAG
rnacentral:tRNA from 1 species